rnacentral:rRNA from 1 species
GUAGUCUCGCACAGAUGCAUAUCAAUAAGCGGAGGAAAAGAAACUAACAAGGAUUCCCUUAGUAACGGCGAGUGAAGCGGGAAGAGCUCAAAUUUGAAAUCUUCAAGGGUUUACCUUUACGAAUUGUAGUUUAAAGAAGUGUUUUCUGUUGAGGUUUUGGUAAAAGUUCUUUGGAAUAGGACAUCAUAGAGGGUGAGAAUCCCGUAUUUGACCUUUACUUUCAACUUUGUGAUACACUUUCAAAGAGUCGGAUUGUUUGGGAAUGCAGUCCAAAAUGGGUGGUAAAUUUCAUCUAAAGCUAAAUAUUGGCGAGAGACCGAUAGCGAACAAGUACCGUGAGGGAAAGAUGAAAAGAACUUUGAAAAGAGAGUUAAACAGUACGUGAAAUUGUCAAAAGGGAAGCGUUUGACACCAGUGUUGUUUUCUCGAAAAUCAAUUAAAAAGAGUUAGAUUUUGUUGUGUAUUGACCUUAACAGCUUGCAUUUCAAUUUUCUUGCUUUUUUUAAUGCACUUUUCGUUUAACAAGUCAACAUCAGUUUCUUUUGUUGUAAAAAGGUCAUUGGAAGGUGGCUUUCUUUUCGGAGAAAGUGUUUAUAGCCUUUGACUCCUGCAAUCGGAGAGACUGAGGUCUGCAGCGUAGAUCCUUCGGGGUUAGAUACAUUUGUGCUAAGUUAUAGCUUUUUAUAGACAACUUGUUGACUAUGAUUAGUCUUGUAGCUUACUCGCUUAUGCUAUUUUACCUACGCUUAGGAUGUUGAUGUGAUACUGCGAGCA